GAGUUUGAUCCUGGCUCAGGAUGAACGCUGGCGGCGUGCUUAACACAUGCAAGUCGAACGAAGCACUCUAUUUGAUUUUCUUCGGAAAUGAAGAUUUUGUGACUGAGUGGCGGACGGGUGAGUAACGCGUGGGUAACCUGCCUCAUACAGGGGGAUAACAGUUGGAAACGACUGCUAAUACCGCAUAAGCGCACGGGGCCGCAUGGUCCUGUGUGAAAAACUCCGGUGGUAUAAGAUGGACCCGCGUUGGAUUAGCUAGUUGGCAGGGCAGCGGCCUACCAAGGCGACGAUCCAUAGCCGGCCUGAGAGGGUGAACGGCCACAUUGGGACUGAGACACGGCCCAGACUCCUACGGGAGGCAGCAGUGGGGAAUAUUGCACAAUGGGGGAAACCCUGAUGCAGCGACGCCGCGUGAAGGAAGAAGUAUCUCGGUAUGUAAACUUCUAUCAGCAGGGAAGAUAAUGACGGUACCUGACUAAGAAGCCCCGGCUAACUACGUGCCAGCCGCCGCGGUAAUUC
rnacentral:rRNA from 1 species